rnacentral:rRNA from 1 species
CCCCUAGAUGUUCUGGGCCGCACGCGCGCUACACUGAACAGUUCAACAAGUCUUAACCUUGGCCGAUAGGUCUGGGUAAUCUUUGAACGCUGUUCGUGAUUGGGAUAGACCUUUGCAAUUAUGGGUCUUCAACGAGGAAUUCCUAGUAAACGCAAGUCAUCAGCUUGCAUUGAUUACGUCCCUGCCCUUUGUACACACCGCCCGUCGCACCUACCGAUUGAAUGGUCCGGUGAAAUCUCGGACUGCGAUGACGCUCUGGCAACAGAGUUAAUUGCGGAAAGUUGAUCAAACCUUACCAUUUAGAGGAAGGUGAAGUCGUANCA